UUGGAGGGCAAGUCUGGUGCCAGCAGCCGCGGUAAUUCCAGCUCCAAUAGCGUAUAUUAAAGUUGUUGCAGUUAAAAAGCUCGUAGUUGAAUUUCGGGAUCAAUGUUUCGGUCAUGCCGUUGGUAUGUACUGAUAUUAUUGGUUUCUCACCUUCUAAAGAACCGUAAUGCCAUUAAUUUGGUGUCACGGGGAAUUAGGAUUGUUACCCUGAAAAAAUUAGAGUGUUUAAAGCAGGCUCACGCUUGAAUACAUUAGCAUGGAAUAAUGAAAUAGGACAUCCGAUUCUAUUUUGUUGGUUUCUAGGAUCGAUGUAAUGAUUAAUAGGGAUAGUUGGGGGCAUUAGUAUUCAAUUGUCAGAGGUGAAAUUCUUGGAUUUAUUGAAGACUAACUACUGCGAAAGCAUUUGCCAAGGAUGUUUUCAUUAAUCAAGAACGAAAGUUAGGGGAUCGAAGACGAUCAGAUACCGUCGUAGUCUUAACCAUAAACUAUGCCGACUGGGGAUCGGAUGAUGUUAAUUUUUUAAUGACUCAUUCGGCGCCUUACGGGAAACCAAAGUGUUUGGGUUC
rnacentral:rRNA from 1 species